UCUCAUUGCUCUUAGUGAGAUAAGUAGGGCUUCCUCCUGAGGGUUAGGAGCAUGUUUGUGUAUAGAGAUAACGAUGCUCUAAUCAGCGAGCAAACACGAAGAGGUAGGAAAAGGCACCAGUACUGGAAGAGUCGCUUUGGUUCCCAGCAAUGUCAGGGACCUUUACUUAGCAGCUCUGAUUUCUCUAACAUGAGCCAUGUGGUGUUCAAAGGCGGCAUCUUGAGUGACAACAGUGAAAAAUCCUGCACCCUGUGAUGUUGGAAGUGUGUCAACACCCAUGAGAUUGGUCUAGAGGAUCUGUGCUAUGCAAUGAUGCCCACAGCCUCUCCAGCCCUCAUAAAACCUUGGCUGGACUCUUCCUAUAGCUAAGCAGCCUUCUGUAAUCAAAGCUUCACCCUGGGCUUGGUCUUGCUCAUGCAGCAGUGCUCCAUGUUUGUGCAGAAGUCUGCAGAGCUCAGAAGCAGCUUUGGAUCCCAAGGGACUGAAGUUCAAGAUGAUCAUGACCAUGUAGCUGCUGGGAACUGAAUCCAGGUCCUCUGCAAGAGCAGUAAAUGCUCUUAACCAAUCCCAGAGACUGAUUUCUGCUCCUGCCACUGACCUCUCUUCUCUCUGAGCAUACAGGCCUCUAACAACAACAUAAACCCAAGUGGAUGCCUUCCUCUGGGAGAGGAGACCUGAACGGAACACCCUUUUAAGAAGCUGGGUUAACCGUUCCAUACAAGGGUUAAGAGGACUUCAGCUAAAGCCUGUUUGAACUUGGAAACCCUCUCUUGAAAUCCCAAUGGCAAGGUGUUUUCAUUUUCACAGUGAACUUUGCUCUACAGGUUCUCACUCUGAGAGUUAAAAGAAGAAUAGGUUAAGAGAUAGCUCAGUCUGUAAACUGAAUGCGUUAAGCUUGAUCCGCAGAACCUACUCAAAAAUACAAAAUUAAACAGCGGG